UACGUAGGGUGCAAGCGUUAACCGGAAUUACUGGGCGUAAAGCGUGCGCAGGCGGUUUCGUAAGUCUGUCGUGAAAUCCCCGGGCUUAACCUGGGAAUGGCGAUGGAGACUGCGAGGCUAGAGUUUGGCAGAGGGGGGUAGAAUUCCACGUGUAGCAGUGAAAUGCGUAGAGAUGUGGAGGAACACCGAUGGCGAAGGCAGCCCCCUGGGUCAAAACUGACGCUCAUGCACGAAAGCGUGGGGAGCAAACAGG
rnacentral:rRNA from 1 species